GGAUGCGAUCAUACCAGCACUGAAGCACCGGAUCCCAUCAGAACUCCGAAGUUAAGCGUGCUUGGGCGAGAGUAGCACUAGGAUGGGUGACCUCUUGGGAAGUCCUCGUGUUGCAUUCC
rfam:Sorghum bicolor cultivar BTx623 chromosome 9, whole genome shotgun sequence.